UCGAGCGGGUUUAGACCCGCGGCAAACGGGUGAGUAAUACCCAGGAACGUACCUUAGUUGAGCAUAACCCACCGAAAGGUGGAGCAAUUCUCAAUGUGAUCGCAAGAUUAAAGCAGCAAUGCGCUAAAGAAGCGGCCUGGGCACCAUCAGCUAGUUGGUAAGGUAAAAGCUUACCAAGGCUAUGACGGUUAGGGGCCCCGAGAGGGGAAACCUCCACACUGGAACUGAGACACGGUCCAG
rnacentral:rRNA from 1 species